rnacentral:rRNA from 1 species
AAGUCGUGCGGUAACAGACAUAAAGAUUUAGCUUGCUAAAUCCGGUGCUGACGAGCGGCGAACGGGUGAGUAACACGUAGGAAUCUACCCAGUAGCGGGGGAUAGCCCAGGGAAACUUGGAUUAAUACCGCAUACACCCUAAGGGGAAAAGAAGGCCACUCUUUGAAGCUUUCACUAUUGGAUGAGCCUGCGUAAGAUUAGCUUGUUGGUGGGGUAAAGGCCUACCAAGGCAACGAUCUUUAGCUGGUCUGAGAGGACGAUCAGCCACAUUGGGACUGAGACACGGCCCAGACUUCUACGGAAGGCAGCAGUUAGGAAUAUUGGACAAUGGGGGCAACCCUGAUCCAGCUAUACCGCGUGUGUGAAGAAGGCCCUAGGGUUGUAAAGCACUUUAAGCAGGGAAGAAGCGUAUUAAGUUAAUACCUUAAUAUGUUGACGUUACCUGAAGAAUAAGGACCGGCUAACUCCGUGCCAGCAGCCGCGGUAAUACGGAGGGUCCAAGCGUUAAUCGGAAUUACUGGGCGUAAAGCGCGCGUAGGCGGUUUAAUAAGUUGUAUGUGAAAGCCCUGGGCUCAACCUAGGAACUGCAUACAAAACUAUUAAGCUUGAGGACGAGAGAGGAGAGUAGAAUUUCAGGUGUAGCGGUGAAAUGCGUAGAUAUCUGAAGGAAUACCAAUGGCGAAGGCAGCUCUCUGGCUCGUUUCUGACGCUGAGGUGCGAAAGCGUGGGUAGCAAACAGGAUUAGAUACCCUGGUAGUCCACGCCGUAAACGAUGAUAACUAGCCGUUGGGCAGAUUUAACUGUUCAGUGGCACAGCUAACGCAUUAAGUAUNCCGCC